rnacentral:lncRNA from 1 species
AACGUUGCUUCACAAAAGAAAAAGCGCACAGUGACAUCUCAAAGAGUAAGCCACGUUGUGUUUCAUGAAAUUAAGAUCCUAUGCAUAUGUUACCUCCAGCAAUUAAGAGUAAGCUAUGUUGUGUACACUGACCUCUCAAACAUACAGUGUAUCCAUUUGCACCUAAGUAUUACUUCUAAUAUCCAGUUCCAGCCUCUGCAACCACGCCAAUAGUGCAAUGCAAUCUGUGAUGGUAGGAUUAACAGCUGGACAAGGCCCACUACCCUUCUCAACAAUCGUGCCCUCUUCCUUCUUUAUGAUAAAGCUCAUACCUGCAAGACCUUUAGACAAGCUGAAUGAGCCAUCACACUCUAAUAUAUAAUCAAGAUUAGCCACACUACUUGACUAAGGUCAUACCUUUCUGCAAUUCCCUCAAGCUUGUCAUGGCUAUUAUCGAUCCAACGGUUAUGAAAUCUAGUUUCAUUCCUGUGGUUCCAAAAAAACCAGGAUGAAGUAGCUAUGAGACAGUGAAUCCACUUAAAAACACUGGUCAUGCUCUUUUCCUUCUUUCGGUCAAUCACCUUUGUGCCAACUAUUAAAAAACUUAAAUCUGAGGCCCAUAUUAAGUUCAAGGAGAUGGCAAGAACAGAGUGCUUGGGAACAUUCAAAGAAGAUACAUUUAAUAGAAUCAAUGUGAACUUCACAAGUAGGACAAACCUCAACUUGGCUAUACUGGAUAUGAGACAACCAGCUAAAAGUAAGCAGUCUAUUCCAGCUAAACUCCCACAAAAAAGUUUCACUUUAGAAGUCUUAUUGAGACACCAAAUUGCCUUCCAGCCCGACCAAACUUUCUCCUCAUAAACAAUCUGUAUUAUAUAAAAGUAACCACCGCCAGCAGAAAUAUUUUUUUGAGAAGCUGAGCUCCAAUUCCAAGACUAUAUCAUAGAGGGCUCUAGGGAGAUGAAUACUAUGGAGCAAGACAUUAAUGUCCCAGUGAUUAUCAUUAGUCAUAUCAGCCACAGUGUUAUGCUUCAGCAUUUCACUGACAUUAACAUAAGUGGGCCAUUUGUCAAAGGAACCUUAAGUGGUUAUGAAGUAAUAACACUUUGUAAACUGUAUUGGUGAUAGUUGUUUUCUAUGGUCAGUUUCUGUUGAUGUUAAAAUGUCCUCCGUAAACACAUUUCUCUAGUUUUCUGGGAACAUACUUUGUGUGCGUCUAUUGUAAUUAGUAUUUUCAUGCUACUGCUGAAGUUCCAUAAUCAGCAGUUGUAUAUGCUUUCAGUUUUAU